GCUGGGUGCAGUGGCACGAGCCUGUAGUCCCAGCUACUUGGGAGGCUGAGGCUGGAGGAUCGCUUGAGCCAGGAGUUCUGGGCUGUAGUGCGCUGUGCCGAUCGGGUGUCCGCACUAAGUUUGGCAUCAAUAUGGGGACCUCCCGGGAGGGGGGACCACCAGGUUGCCUAAGGAGGGGUGAGCCGGCCCAGGUCAGAAAUGGAGCAGGUCAAAAUUCCCGUGCUGAUCAGUAGUGGGAUCGCGUCUGUGAACAGCCACUGCACUCCAGCCUGGACAACAUAAAGACCCCGUCUCUA
rnacentral:SRP_RNA from 1 species